rnacentral:rRNA from 1 species
CUACGGGUCGCUCCAGUCGCGAAAACUCUACAAUGCACGUAAGUGUGAUAGGGGGAUUCUGAGUGUCCAUGGUUUCCAUGGACUUUUUACGACGGUAAAUACGUCGUAGAAUAAGUGGUGGGUAAGACUGGUGCCAGCCGCCGCGGUAACCCCAGCGCCACAAGUGGGAACCACAAUUAUUGGGUCUAAAGCAUCCGUAGCCGGUUUGGCAAAUGCGCUGUGAAAUCGUCUCGCUUAACGGGACGGCGUGCAGUGUAGACUACCAAACUUGGGACCAGAAGAGGUUGACAGUAUUCUAGAGGGACCGGUAAAAUGGGAUAAUCUCUAGAGGACUACCAAUGGCGAAGGCAGUCAGCCAGUAUGGAUCCGACGGUGAGGGAUGAAAGCUAGGGGAGCGAUCCGGAUUAGAUACCCCCGUAGUC